UACGAAGGGGGCUAGCGUUGCUCGGAAUCACUGGGCGUAAAGGGUGCGUAGGCGGGUCUUUAAGUCAGGGGUGAAAUCCUGGAGCUCAACUCCAGAACUGCCUUUGAUACUGAGGAUCUUGAGUUCGGGAGAGGUGAGUGGAACUGCGAGUGUAGAGGUGAAAUUCGUAGAUAUUCGCAAGAACACCAGUAGCGAAGGCGGCACUCUGGGCCGGUACUGACGCUGAGGAGUGAAAGCGUGGGGAGCGAACAGG
rnacentral:rRNA from 1 species